rnacentral:rRNA from 1 species
UACGAAGGGUGCAAGCGUUAAUCGGAAUUACUGGGCGUAAAGCGCGCGUAGGCGGUUUUUUAAGUCAGAUGUGAAAGCCCCGGGCUCAACCUGGGAAUUGCAUUUGAAACUGGGAAACUAGAGUGUGUGAGAGGGGGGUAGAAUUCCAAGUGUAGCGGUGAAAUGCGUAGAGAUUUGGAGGAAUACCAGUGGCGAAGGCGGCCCCCUGGCACAACACUGACGCUCAGGUGCGAAAGCGUGGGGAGCAAACAGG